rnacentral:lncRNA from 1 species
AUUGGGCUGCCAUAAUAUAACAAGGCUUGAGAGAACCCAAGCCCGCAUUCUAGAAUUCUCUACACUUCUCCACACUACUCCACACAAGGAGAUAUUUUGUGUAGUGUCUACAUUAUUCUAGAACUCUCUAUGUAAUCUAGACCAUUGAUUCGUGUAGGCUAAAUCAUAACCGUCCAUUGAGGAGGUGGAAGUGGCUAUAAAUACCACCCCUCACUUCAUUUGUAAAUCAACCAAGAAAACCAAGCUUAGCCAAGCAAUUCAUGUAAUACAAAGCAUUUGGGUAGUAAGAGUUCUACAACAAAGCUCUCUUGUGUUCUCUUCUCUACUUAGUUCUCAUUUCCGCUGCAUUACAAUCCCAAAGGCUUACUUAGCUCGUCCUAGCAACCAAAGGCGACUAAGUGCCGCACGGAUAGGCAUAGCAAAAUCCUAUCUCCGUGACAGGUGGUAUCAGAGCAGGUUCCGUCCUAGGUCCCAAGCCCUUUGCCUUGAUCAAUGGCAAACGAUAAAGCUCAAUUGGUUGUUGCGGAGGAACAACAACCUGAGCAGCCAGAGGCAGUACGAGGCCGUGAGCCGGUGCGCACUCGAUCUAAGAGGGGGAAGUCUAAGGCACGAACCUCACCCGUGGAUCAUGUGGAGCAAAGAUUUGCAGCUCUUGAGCAAGCUGUGUCUUCUCAAGAAGCUUUUGUGGGAGAACUCUCCGAACAAAUCGACAAUGUUGUUCAGGAGAAUGGAGAGAUCAUUCGAGCUGCCAAAUGCAUGAUCACCGAGCUUGGUAGAUCCCUACGAGAGGAGCUUCAAACCCUUGCUGGUAGGAUAAAUGAGGUACGUACAUUCACUGAAUCUGAACUUAGUGCCUUACGUGGUGAAGUAGAUGCUAUCCGUUCUGAAUGCCGGAUGCACCAAAGAAUGAGUAGUCCUGCGUCGACUAGUGCUACCACAAGUCAUGUAGCACAUGGUUUGAAAGUACCCAAGCCUGCGACGUAUGAUGGAACGCGCAGUGCCUCCAUGGUGGAAAACUUUCUCUUUGGCCUUGACCAGUACUUUGAGGCCAUGGGGGUAAAUGAUGAUGCCGCUAAGAUUGGCAAUGCCCCCACAUUCCUUCGGGAUGCUGCUCAGUUAUGGUGGCGAAGGAAGCAUGCGGAGCGAGAAAAAGGCACUUGCAACAUCCAUACAUGGGAGCAAUUCAAGUCCGAAUUGCGAAAGCACUUCGUGCCUCAUAAUGCGGAUACUGAAGCAAGGGGUAAACUACGUCGUCUACAACAAAGAGGUAGCCUUUCCGAUUACAUUAAGGAGUUCACCACUCUUAUGUUGGAAAUUGACGACUUGUCCGACAAAGAUGCUCUCUUCUUCUUCAAAGAUGGGUUAAGAGAGUGGGCGAAGGUGGAGCUAGAGCGGCGUAGCGUGCAAACACUUGAUGAUGCUAUUGCCGUAGCUGAAACUCUAACAGACUACUCCACCCGAGUUGAGAACAACAAGCCCAUUCCUAGCAAGAGUGGGGGAGAGAGUGAAGACGAGGAGAAGGACCAUCAUCGCAGGGAAGAUGGUUCGCCCAAAGCUCUCGAGGGAAGACAUGAUAAGCAGUUUAGGAAGCAUAAUUUCAGACCUAAACCUUGCUUCCUAUGUGGAGGGCCGCAUUGGACAAGAGAUUGCCCCGAUAAGGAGAAAAUAAAUACGAUGCGUGACAUCUAUAAAAAGGCAGUGAAUGCCAUGGUCACUGAGUGCAAUAAGGAGAAACAGGCGACAGAGGAACACAAAGCCCAGAUGGGUUCCCUACGAUAUUUGGGCGCAAUAUCUCUUCGCACUCCCAAGGAGGAGGAAGUGACAAAUCAUGAGCAAUCCUCGCCAAAGUCUGCCGAAACGAUGGAGGAUAAGUCCAAAGACAUCACACCUCCACAGUCACCAAAAACACCUCCUAAAAAGGAAGUUAAUCACCAGGUUGAGCUGGAGCCAAGUGCUAAGCUGCCAGCCAAAUCCUUUCCUCGAAAGUCACCUCCAAAGACGGGAGAACUAAGGAAGGCCCCAAAAUUGGGAGAACAAAAGAAGGCCGAUGUUGCCACUGACACAUCAAGUCAUAAGGCGAAGCUAGCCAACACCAGUGCUAACGCCUCACAAAACAACCCACGGGAUGACACCCGUAAACCUCACAAGCGUGUGAGAGAAUGGCAUAAGGAAGCAGACGAGAUUCUUGCUUGUCUCAAUAAGGCUGUUCGGUUUAUAAAGAAAUGGGCCAAGAGGCGACCGAAGAAGUACGCCAAAGGAGACAAGGUACUCGUCAAACUUUGCCCUAAUCAGCUCAAGUCCUUACAAAAAGAUCAAAAAGGGCCAGUGAAGAAGUACGAGGGACCAUUCCCUAUCAUCAAACGAGUAGGGAAGGCUGCAUAUCAAGUCCAACUGCCUACCGAGUGGAAGAUUCAUAAUGUCUUCCAUGCUAGUAUGUUAAAACCUUAUCAUGCAGAUGGCAAAGAUCCAAGAAAGGGCGAGACCACUAAAGCGCCAGUUGUUGUUACUAAAGCAAAUAAGGAGGUUGACAGCAUCCUCAACUCACGAGAAGUAUGGCGACGCGGAGUGCCGAGCUAUCGCGAGUACUUGGUCAAGUGGAAGAACUUGCCCGAAUCUGAAGCUANNNNNNNNNNNNNNNNNNNNNNNNNNNNNNNNNNNNNNNUGUUACGCCCCGCACUGCAAGCUGCGCAAGAAUGCAAGGCAACCUAGCAAUUUAUAGGCAAGGCAUUAGAGAGGUGCCAAUUGGGCUGCCAUAAUAUAACAAGGCUUGAGAGAACCCAAGCCCGCAUUCUAGAAUUCUCUACACUUCUCCACACUACUCCACACAAGGAGAUAUUUUGUGUAGUGUCUACAUUAUUCUAGAACUCUCUAUGUAAUCUAGACCAUUGAUUCGUGUAGGCUAAAUCAUAACCGUCCAUUGAGGAGGUGGAAGUGGCUAUAAAUACCACCCCUCACUUCAUUUGUAAAUCAACCAAGAAAACCAAGCUUAGCCAAGCAAUUCAUGUAAUACAAAGCAUUUGGGUAGUAAGAGUUCUACAACAAAGCUCUCUUGUGUUCUCUUCUCUACUUAGUUCUCAUUUCCGCUGCAUUACAAUCCCAAAGGCUUACUUAGCUCGUCCUAGCAACCAAAGGCGACUAAGUGCCGCACGGAUAGGCAUAGCAAAAUCCUAUCUCCGUGAC